rnacentral:misc_RNA from 1 species
GAAAUGCGAUAAGUAGUGUGAAUUGCAGAAUUCAGUGAAUCAUCGAAUCUUUGAACGCACAUUGCGCCCUUUGGUAUUCCAAAGGGCAUGCCUGUUCGAGCGUCAUUUGUACCCUCAAGCUUUGCUUGGUGUUGGGCGUCUUGUCUCUAGCUUAGCUGGAGACUCGCCUUAAAGUAAUUGGCAGCCGGCCUACUGGUUUCGGAGCGCAGCACAAGUCGCACUCUCUAUCAGCAAAGGUCUAGCAUCCAUUAAGCCUUUUUUUCAACUUUUGACCUCGGAUCAGGUAGGGAUACCCGCUGAACUUAAGC